AUCUAGCGAGACUCAAGGUCCGGCAAGUUCAGUUGCCUUUGAUUUUUUGUCUGGAGAAGUUUAUACAAACGGAGCUUGGCCUAAACAGAGCCAUUCUGAAGCCAUGGCCGUGAAAAUUGUCAAGUCUCUGGUCCUUGCUUUAGGGAUAUCGUCGAAUUUUGCCCUGUUGGUGAAUGGUCAGUCAAAUACUUGUCCCGGAUUUCCUGGUUUCUGCUCGGAAUCAUUUCCAGGCCACACCUGUGUUGUGGUUUGUUCAAGAGGAAGGCCAAACGUGCCCCUGUGCCAAGAUGAUUUAACAUGGACCGAUGUUCCACGUUGUAUUGAGCACGAGCCGGGAGAUUUUAGACAAAUCCCUGGCGUCUGUCCUGGAAUAUCUGGAUAUUGUUCUCAAGGAUAUCUUGGCCAAGCCUGCGAAUUCCCCUGCCCAAGUGGACCUACCAUUAAUUCUACAUGCACAAUUGACGGAACUUGGUUUCCUUACUUACCCCACUGCUUAGGCGACAUCAGGAGAGACUCAAGACGGUUGCAAUCCAUGCCCAGGACCGAGUGGAGCCAGAAGAAACAGACCCAUUGAAAGUCCAACACAAAGAUUUCCAGUCAAUCCCACAGCCAAACUCGAUCCUACAGAUAGGGCACCUCGGCCAACUUUUGCUGGUACAAAAUCGUUUGGGACAUCCAUCAGUGAAUCAGGUGUUUCAUCGCGACCUCAACCAACUAGUCAAACUAGACCGGUUAGCCCUCGACUACAAGGUCAGAACUUAGCAGCCAAUUCUAAAAGCUUUUCUGCGGGCCAGUUUUCAAACCCAACGACCCCUACAACCCCCACCAUCGCAACAACAACAGCAACAACAACCCAGAUCUUUCGGCUCUUCAGGUUUAAACGCCUUGGCUAGCUUCCCAAGUUUGCAAGGUAACAAGCAGCCUGCGAGGAACUUUGGCCCAAGUUCUUCCCAGGCUUCGCAAUUUGCAAAUCCCUCACCUCAAGAGCAAAUUCAGACGUCCAGUCUUGGGGUGGCCGCACAAGCUUCAGCUAACAGAAACUCGCCCCAAUUAGGUUCUCGAUUUGGAAAUUUUCCGGCUCAAUCAAGGCUGAACAGUCAAACCCAAGAGAGCAGGACCACCAUUGCUCAGGCACCCCUCCCUCCUCUGCUUCCUCAGCUUCAACGCAAUCUUCGAAUACAGGACGGGAAACUCAAAGGUCAACCCAUUGAGAGCUAGGCAGUCCAGACCAUCUCCCCAGACGAGCCAACCCAGAGCUCAAGUCCAGAGCAGCAACAACAGCGACAGCAACAACUGCCUCAAGUGUCGUCCCAACCCCAACAAUUCGCAGUACCUACUAGUUCGAAUGGUGGGAUCCCUUUGUCUCAAGGGCGAUUUGUGGUUGGCUCAGAUGGGAGUAUCGAUGCCAGAAGAAAGGGGCAGCAAGCUAAUCCGGUUCAGCUUACAAAUGAGGAACGGUCAAUUCUGAGAACCUCACUUCCAAGUGCCACUGCGUCCAAGUAAGGAGUCAGGAUGAAAAUGUUCAGAGACAGGCUUUUGAGAAUCCGGCUCCAAAUUCUCCGCAAAACUCUGCUCCAGCGAAUGAUUUUGAUGGCUCGCCUUUUUCUUCUGCCACAUUUAAUGACCGAUCACCAACUGGGUCGUUCAGAGAUCGGGAAGUCUCGUUCGGGCCUUUUCAGGUGGUUAAUUUGUGAUUACACCGCAAAAGAAGUAAUUGAUUAUGUACAAAGGGUGCUCAAUUAUUCUACGCUCUCCAUAUCUUGAGAAU